AAAGAUAUCCUUUCCUUGUCUACAAUACCAAACAAAACAUCAUUACCCCAUAUUGCACCAAUUCACCAUUCAUCAUUAAUCCAAACAUCUUUCAAUCUUCUAAUCUUCAUGCCAUUUCCGAAAUAUCACCUCAUGUCUUCUUUGUCUUAAAAGACUCUUCAAAAUAAAGAAGGGAUUGGACCCGUUUUAUGCAGCCUCAUGCAAGUGUUCAGCUUUAAAAUUCCUACCUUGUUUUAUUUUAUGGGUAAACUAUCAAAGUAAUUACACUUUUAUUUUUUUCAGAUUACAUUUUAGUCAUUUAUGUUAACGUGUCGUAAUAUUUUAGUCAUUGAGCUGUUAAUUAUAUUUAACGAUGUAACAGUAAGCUGAUGUGGCACGUUAAAUUAUCAUUUUAAACAAAAAAAUUUAUGUUAAAUCAUACAAUCGAUCCCAUAUUUUUUCGUUUUGAGCAAUUUAAUUUUUUUUCUUUUAUGUUCUUUUAACUUUCCUUUUUUUUUCUUUCUCUUUUGCUUUUCUCUCCCUUCUCCAUCUCUUUUAACGUAAAAAAAAUUGCUCAAAACGAAAAAAAUAUAAGGAUCAAUUGUAUAAUUUAACCUAAAAUUUUCUUUUGAAAUGAUAAUUUAACGUUUCACAUCAGCUUACAGUUACACCAUUAAUGGCUAUUAACGGCUGACUAAAAAAUGUUACAACACGAUAAUAUAAGUGACUAAAACAUAACAUUUCAAACAUAAGUGACUAAAAUGUAACCUGAGACAAACAAAAGUGACUAUUUUGAUAGUUUACCCUUAUUUUAUUUAUUUAUAUAUAUAAUAUGUAAUUAGAUAAUAUGUAAAAGAUAACAAAAAUAAAUUAUUAGGAGGAAAUUUAAGGAUGACAAAAGGUUAAUUUUAAAUGUCAAAACUACAUUUUUAAGUAGUUAAUCAUAAUAUAAUGAAUAUCAAGGUUUAAAUUUUGGUUCAUGGGUGAACCUUACUCACUUCUUCAAGAGGAUACUGAAUUAUUUUUAAAAAAAUCAAAUCAUAAUCAAAUAUUAUUUUUUUAAAAAUAAUAAUUUUACUCCUUCAGAGAAAUCUUUUCUAGAUAAACAACUCAAAUUUAAAAUUUAAAUAGGUAUAAUCUUGUAAAUUUAAAAUAAGAAAUAAAUAAAUUAUUUAAUUUAUAGCUUUUUGAUAAAAAAAAUUAAGAAUUAUCUAAUAUAGGUGAUAUGGUUUCAUUUUAUUUUUCCUUAAAAAAAAAAACACCUAAGAAACUCGGUGCCUAAUUGUGAGUACCGUAGUUGGAGUUGAGGCGUUGGCUAUGAUGAUGAUAGGAUGGAUGGUAUUGGUAGUGGGGGUGUUGUUGGUCCCUUCAUCCCAAUCAUUACGGUUCGACAUACAAUCGGGAAAGAUUAAAUGCAUCUCGGAAGACAUGAAAAGCAAUUCAAUGACGGUGGGGAAGUACCAAGUUAUCAAUCCCAACCAGGACCGUCAUCAACUAUUGCCUGAUUCUCACAAGUUGAACGUCAAGGUAACGUCGUCGCAUGGCCAUAUUUUUCAGUGGGCGGAGAAAGUAGAGAAAGGGCAGUUUGUAUUUACGGCGAUGGAGCAGGGAAAUUACAUGGCUUGCUUUUCGGCACCGGAGCAUUGGCCUCUGAUUACCUUGACCAUUGAUUUUGAUUGGAGGACAGGUGUUCAGUUUAAGGACUGGUUUAAUGUUGCCAAGAAAGGCCAUGUCGAUGUAAGUCUCUUCAUUUAUUCAUGAUAUUAGGAAACAACAAAACUGGCACAAACAUAAGCAUGCGUGCUAUAUAUAUUUGUUCAUGCUUUUUAUAAUGCACCCAAGGCUUUGUGGCUGUUUUGUGAAUAGCAGGCCAUGAAAGUGGAGCUGGAGCAGUUGUACCACACUAUUAAUUCCAUUCAUCAUGAAAUGUUUUAUUUCCGGGCAAGGUAGGGUAACGUCUUUCUCACUUUUUUCCCCCCUUUAAUGAAUCUUAAUUUCUUUGCCCACCCUAUUUGGCUUCCCUUCAGAGAAAAAGAAAUGCAGCAGCUAAAUCAAGAGACUAUCUCCAAAAUGAUGUGGUUGUCCUUCGUCUCACUUUGUUUUGGCUUCUCAGUUGCAGGAUUACAAUUUUGGUACCUAAAAUCCUUCUUCCAAGAAAAUAAGCUUAUUUGAUUUGACUGUGUUACCCAACAUCCCUAUUUUUUCCUUCUAAUUAUUAUUAGCUACUUUGUUUGACAAUGUAAUUUCUAGG
rnacentral:lncRNA from 1 species